rnacentral:rRNA from 1 species
AGAGUUUGAUCCUGGCUCAGGAUGAACGCUAGCUACAGGCUUAACACAUGCAAGUCGAGGGGCAGCAUUUCAGUUUGCUUGCAAACUGGAGAUGGCGACCGGCGCACGGGUGAGUAACACGUAUCCAACCUGCCGAUAACUCGGGGAUAGCCUUUCGAAAGAAAGAUUAAUACCCGAUGGUAUAAUUAGACCGCAUGGUCUUGUUAUUAAAGAUUUCGGUUAUCGAUGGGGAUGCGUUCCAUUAGGCAGUUGGUGAGGUAACGGCUCACCAAACCUUCGAUGGAUAGGGGUUCUGAGAGGAACGGUCCCCACAUUGGAACUGAGACACGGUCCAAACUCCGUACGGGAGGCA